rnacentral:rRNA from 1 species
GUCAAAAAAACGAAGGCUCACGACGGAGACCUAGGCUCUCAGAGACGAUGAAAGGCGCGAUACCAGCGAUAUGCUUUGGGGAGUAGGAAGAAUGCAUAGAUCCAAAGAUUCCUGAAUAGGGCAACCUGUCCGACUAUCUAUGAAUUCAUAAAUAGAUUAGAGGCAACCUGGUGAACUGAAACAUCUCAGUAGCCAGAGGAAAAGAAAGCAAAAGCGAUUCCCGUAGUAGCGGCGAGCGAACUGGGACCAGCCUAAACCAAUUUAAUUGGGGUUGUGGGAAGACAAACUUGCAUCGUCAUUGAUAAAAUUAUAUUUUAUCAAUGACAAUGCAAAAGAAAGUAAGAAAAAAGACGAAGCAGCUGAAUCCUGCACCAUAGAUGGUGAAAGUCCAGUAGUCAUAUUCAAUUCUUUAAGUUUUUAACCGUUCCUUCGAAGAAAGCGUAAACUUUGUUUACGCGCGGAGCGAGCAAAAGGAAGCAACUAAAAUGUCUAUCCCGAGUAGCAUGGGGCACGUGGAAUCCCGUGUGAAUCUGCGAGGACCACCUCGUAAGGCUAAACACUCCUGAGAGACCGAUAGCGAAAUAGUACAGCGAUGGAAAGGUGAAAAGAACCCCCGUAGGGGAGUGAAAUAGAACAUGAAAUCGUGAGCUGACAAGCAGUGGGAGGAUUUUUUCGAAUCUGACCGCGUGCCUGUUGAAGAAUGAGCCGGCGACUUAUAGGAAGUGGCAGGUUAAAGAGUAAGAUCUGGAGCCUAAGCGAAAGCGAGUCUGAAUAGGGCGCAAGUCACUUCUUAUGGACCCGAACCUGGAUGAUCUAACCAUGAGCAAGCUGAAGCUUAGGUAACACUUAGUGGAGGGCUGUACAGACCGGUGUUGAAAAAUCGGCUGAUGACUUGUGGUUAGCGGAGAAAUUCCAAUCGAAUUCAGAGCUAGCUGGUUCUCCCCGAAAUGCGUUGAGGCGCAGCGGCAAUGAUGGGCAAUCUAAGGGUAGAGCGACUGUUUCGGUGCGGGCUGCGAAAGCGGUACCAAGUCGUGGCAAACUCCGAAUAUUAGAUUUGCUUUCCAUGUGCCAGUGAGACAGUGGGGGAUAAGCUUCAUUGUCAAGAGGGAAACAGCCCAGAUCAUCAGCUAAGGCCCCUAAAUGGCUCCUAAGUGGAAAAGGAUGUGAGAAUGCUGAAACAACCAGGAAAUUUGCUUAGAAGCAGCCAUUUUUUAAAGAGUGCGUAAUAGCUCACUGGUAAAGCGUUUUUGCGCCGACAAUGGCCGGGACUAAGGAGCCUGCCGAAGCUAUGAGAUUUUUUGUUUUUUUUAUUUAAAGAAUUUAAAUAAAACUUGUAACUUGCGCUCCUUCGCUUCUUCGCGAAGCGAAGACAGGAAGCUUCGCUUCGGCAGAGCCGAGCAAAAGAUAAAAUUUACAAGCAAAAAAAAAAAAAUAAAAAUCGGUAGGGGAGCGUUCAGCAUUGGGUGAAGCUUUGAUGUAAGUUUGAGUGGACGAUGCUGAAGUGAGAAUGUCGGCUUGAGUAACGAAAACAUUGGUGAGAAUCCAAUGCCCCGAAAACCUAAGGGUUCCUUUACAAGGUUCGUCCAUGAAGGGUGAGUCAGGACCUAAGGCGAGGCCGAUAGGCGUAGUCGAUGGCAAACAGGUUGAUAUUCCUGUACUUUUUUGAAGGGGAACCGAGGGACGAAGUCGGCUAAAUUGAGUCUGUGAAUGGAAUGCAGUGGAAGUGUCCGAGGUUAAACAGAUCGAAGAAAAACGAAUCUGUAGCUAAGGCAUGAUCCCACUCUCCUGAACUUGUUCGGGUAGAGUGUCAAUGAUGUCAUACUUCCAAGAAAAGCUCGUACACCAUCUUUUUAAGAAUAAACCUUCAAAAAACCUGUACCUGAAACCGACACAGGUAGGUUGGUAGAGAAUACUAAGGGGCGCAAGAGAACUCUCUCUAAGGAACUCGGCAAAUUGGCCCCGUAACUUCGGGAGAAGGGGCGCCUUUGAUUUUAUCAAGGGCCACAGUAACAAGAUUCAGGCAACUGUUUACCAAAAACACAGGUCUCCGCAAAGUCGUAAGACAAUAUAUGGGGGCUGACGCCUGCCCAGUGCCGGAAGGUGAAGGAAGUUGGUUAUUUGGGCCUUGUGCUCAGAGAAGCUGACAACCGAAGCCCCGGUGAACGGCAGCUGUAACUAUGACAGUUCUAAGGUAGCGAAAUUCAUUGUCGAGUAAGUUUCGACCUGCACGAAAGGCGUAAUGAUCUGAAUACUGUCUCAGAGAGAGACUUGGUGAAAUAGACUUAUCCGUGAAGAUGCGGAUUAACAACAUUUGGACAGAAAGACCCUAUGAAGCUUGACUGUAUCCUGGAAUUGGGUUCGGGCUUUUCUUGCGCAGUCUAGGUGGGAGGCAUUGAAGAUUUCUUUCCGGAGAGAUUGGAGCCAUCAGUGAGAGACCACUCUGGAAAGGCUAGAAUCCUAAGAGUGAUCCCUAAUCGGGACAUUUGACGUUUUCAGGAAGGCAGUUUUUUUGGGGCGAAAGUCCUCCUAAAAGGUAACGGAGGCGCGCAAAGGUUUCCUCAGUCUGGACGGAAAUCAGACGUUACAGAGUGUAAAGGCAAAAGGAAGCUUGACUGCAAGACCUACAAGUCGAGCAGGGGCGAAAGCCGGCCUUAGUGAUCCGACGGUGUCCGUGUGGAAGGGCCGUCGCUCAACGGAUAAAAGUUACUCUAGGGAUAACAGGCUGAUCUUCUCCAAGAGUUCACAUCGACGAGAAGGUUUGGCACCUCGAUGUCGGCUCAUCACAUCCUGGGGCUGUAGUAGGUCCCAAGGGUUGGGCUGUUCGCCCAUUAAAGUGGUACGUGAGCUGGGUUCAAAACGUGACAUAGUCCUUUCCUUGGUGAAAGCUAAGGGCAAAGAAGUCAACAAUUUAACUUUCUUCUUUUGCGCGCUCCUUCGGAGAAAGCGUAAACAAAGUUUACGCGCUCUCGCGAAGCGAAGCGGUAAAAUUGUUGACUUCUGAAAGCGUAAGACAGUUUGGUCCAUAUCCGAUGUUGUCGUUAGAGCGCUGAGAGGACCCUUAAAUAGUACGAGAGGAUUUUUAAGGUCGUGCCUAUGGUGUAUCAGUUCUCUCUCCAGAGGGAAACGCUGAGUAGCUACGCACGGUUUAGAUAACCGCUGAAAGCAUCUAAGUGGGAAGCUUUCCUCAAGAUGAGCGCUCUCCAUUAUGCCACAGCUAGACAAGCUGAUGAUAGGUAUCAGGUGAAAGGUCUGCAAGGAUUUGAGCCGAGAUAUACUAAAGGCCAAUUGAUUUUGACCA